CCAAAAUCACGUUUUAGACGAGUUUUGAGGACGCUGUAUCUUCUUUCAGGGACAAGCUAGCACCAUACUCUCUUCGGGAAAGUUGUAGAGCACCUUCCAGAGCAUCCGAAUAUGAAUCCGGUUUUAGUACAGCGUGAAACGUGGAUUUUAUAAAUAUCAAAAUCCAAAAAAAUGGAAAAUUGAAUCGCUUUGCGCAAAGUGAGGACUAAACCAAUCGUUCCCAAACUUUGGGGAGUUGUUUAGGACCCCAAAAGGAACUGAAAAAUUGCUGUGCUCCCUGAAUUUGUACAACUUCAUUUUUUUCCAUACAACCAUAUUACACCCUAAUGCACAUACAUCUGUUUCAGCUCAUCAAUGUCGAUUACUACUCUUGAAAGUGCGUCAGCUCCGACGUUUGAUUUUCCAGGUACAUAGUGUACUGUGAAAUCGAAUUCUUCGAGAUCUAAGCGCAUUCUAGUAAGUUUCGAUGAUGGCUCUUUCAUUGAGAACAGAUAGACUAGUGGUCAAUGAUCUGUUCUAACGACGAAUUUCCUACCAUAUAAAUAUGGCUUAAAAUGGUCAAUUGCCCAAUGUAUGGCAACGAGUUCCUGUUCUAUAGUGGAUUUAUUUGAUUCACCUUUAGUGAAUGUUCUGCUUGCGUAGCAUACUGCAAGCCGAACAUUAUCUUUUUUUUCAGGCAACAAGCAUCUUCCAAUAUGAUCUUGCCGGAAACCAUGCGCUUGCGUGUGGCCCGCGUGGCAUCCGUAGAACCCCCGAAAGCAGUUACGGCUACGGAAACACCCGCUCCACAAACCCACGUUGUCUCAUACUCCGGUGGCCAUAAAUCCGUCGGAUAUUGAAGAUUGGCGUCGCAUCCGGGUACAAUUUGUAUCAGCCUUGUAGAGGAGAAAAAGUCCAACACGACCAAGAUGCUGCCGGGCUGCCACAGAACACCAACAUCCAAGCCGGAAGCCUCGGACAAGGCAAAUCCCAUGUGAUAGUAUCCGAAAGAACCCAAGUCUGAGAAGAAUCGGUGAUUCGGAAUUAGUUAAAAAGUGAAGUGAAAAGUGAAAUUAUGCUUGCUUGAAUAAAAAAAAAUAAUAAAAACAAAACAAUAUUUUUUUUUUCGAGUGCAAUAACAAAAAAUCCGAAAUGACUGCACACGAUAAUAGCACGGCAUCCUAAAUAACAAUCCGUGCGACAUCGGUCGAAUGUCGUACGACAAUGUUAUACAAUUUCGAUUAUCGUUCGCACGAAAAACACGAUAUUUUGGUGCAAAAACGUAUAACAUUCGAUCAAAUGUCGCACGACAUUUUGGUGCAACGUCGUACGAUUGCACGAAAGACAAACGUCUGACGGACUUUUCAGUCAGGGGUACCGUUACCUGAAUCUCGUGGUUGGAUUUUGUGUUGAUUUUCCCUUGCGUGACCAGAAGAAACUGGAGCUCGUCGGCAACUUUGGAAUCAGCAACGCGGAGUCGUUUCUGGGUUUCGGGAUGGGUGACCCAGGUAGAACCCUUUAGAACCCAGGUUUCUAGAGCCCAAGCUUGCAGAGCUCCCAAGUCAUCCGAUGCACACGCUGCUUCUCCGGCGCCAGAUGGUCCUGAAUUAAGAAGAACUUGUUCAGCGAUUUGAUGUUCAGGUCACGGGGUGUGAUGGGCCUCUUGAGAGCCCGCACUCGCUGGAUGAACUGGUGCUUAUCACUAACCCUCCAGAACUUCACCAGCACUGCGUCUGUCUUCCGGUUCUGCUUGAAGAUCAGCGGACCAACCUCUUUGACGUUCUCCGCCACGUCAGCCCCGAUCACCUCACAGACCUUGUGAAAAACUUCCUGGUUGUGUUCCGGGCCUUGCAGCUUGAUGCCCUGGAUCAGCACCUCCUCCUGCAACCGCUCUUGCUUCAAGACGUCGAUCUCCUGCCUCAGGUGUCGAUUUUCCACGGUGACCUCGGUCACUCUGUUCGACAGCUUGAGCAACUGCCCCGGCAGAUCCCGAUUCAAGUUAGUUCGUCAAGCUUGGAUAGCUUAGCUAAGAUCUCUUGAAGUUGCUGGGCAACGUUACUGUUCGUUUUCGACUCCUUCCCAGCCUUGGCAGUGUUCGAGCGCCGGUUCGACAUCCUAACCUCAACUCAGCUCGCCUUGCCAACUCGCCAUCAAAGUUCAUCCGUCCGAAGCUGCGCCGUCGAGAGAUGAGCGUUUGCGGGCGGGAGUUGCUGAGAGAGUUUGAAAGUAAAUGAAAAUGGCUAGACACUGAACACAUUCUAAAUACUCACCGGUGACUUCUUCGGUAUUCUAGGUAAAUGUUUUUGAUCAGGUUCGUCGGAUCUCGCUCCAACCUCUGUAAGUAAUCCGAGUACAAUAGCUACAGGACCUGCGAUUUUCGUACAGACGGUCCUUCCAGAACUGGUGCAAACUGUUCUUCCGGAUGUUUAGGUAAUACUCGUCAAACAUGUCCCGCAAUGAGAAAUGGACUGCGGACCCUCGGGACAUCCAAAACUGUCCCGUCAUCACAUCCGGAUGAUGGGAACUCAUGGAUAACAUUUCGUUGUAAUUUUGAGUUUUUGACCCAGAAGGAGGGUAUCUGCGCCAAGACACCUCCUCGACAGCCGGGGUUGUCCUCAGCAGGACAGGGGAGUGGACUGUAAGACUCCGUUGGGGGUGCUUGGUCCGGAUGAAGAAAAAGAGUCCUGGUCGUCGGUUCUGGGUGAUGUUUAUUCGUGUGCCCUUUAGCCGGGGCUGGAUGAUACUGGAUGGGGAUCACGUUUUGGAUCGCCUUCUUAUAGGCGAGGGCAAAGAGAAAUCAAAGAUCUUAAACAAUAGGAGCCUCAAAUUACCAUGCGACCAACAAUAGCGCGAUUGUUGGUGCCGUGUACACAAAACUCGGGAUUAGAGACUGCCUCCAAGGUCAGCUAGUCUUGGGGUUGUGUGCAGGACAAUUUCUGGGGUAGUUAACCUAAUUGCGGACGCAACAGAGGGUAACAUGUCUCAUCGUGAGAAUCAUUGGAAAGUGAUAAACAUUGAAUUAAGACGAUAAUUAGCAAAAAAUAGUGCAGUGUAUUCCGCCGGGGAAUUAAACCCCGUUCUAUCUCAUACCGUGAGAACGCAUCACCGAUCUGCCAACGGAACCAAACCACCGUGCUGAGAGGCGACCUCUUAGAACGUGAUCUGUUUCUACUGGGUAAUCGUAUAACAUUUGUUCCAUGUCUCCGACGCAACCAUAACACCUAAUUAUUUCGCUCUUCUAUUAUGUCAAUUUCUCUCUCUUUCCAGUGGCUCUCUGAGAUCUUUGUGGGUCAAGUAUAUUUUUAGAAGCAUUUGUGUCGUUGUUCAUAGGGUCAUUGGGUGAAUACUGAACACCUCGACCCAAAUGCGACGUACAGUAUGUGAAAAAAGUAUUUACACCCCUUGGGCACUAUGCACAUUUUGUGAUGAAACAUGUAAAAAAAUUAAAGUUUGACAGGAACCUGGUACUACGUUUUGUUCAGAAACUCAUGCUACAAAAAGAUCAUGAAAAGAUGAUUUCUAUAAAAAGUUAUAUAACAAAUACUAUUACGAAAAUAAAAAAGGUGCAAAAAAAGUGUGUACACCUUUCGAAAAAUUAACAUAAAUAAUGUUAUUUGUUGACAAAUCACCAUAAAUCCAGUCUCCCAACUCCAAAUAGGCGUCCUUGACUGAUUAAAAAAAUAAUUUGGAUUGAAUAUAAAGUUUACUAACUACUUAGUAUAAAAGUUUAUAUAACUCUGGAAAUUCUAUAUAAAACUUAUGUAAACUUAAUUUUGCAAACUUUUAAUUGAACUAAAUGUCAAUAUAUUACCAUAUAAUUGCUAAAUAAACAUUUUGGAGUGGGUAUAACACCGUUUUGGGGGUAUUUGUAUCGAUAGAAUAGAUUUUUCGUUGGAAUUUCGUACCAACCCGGAAUUACGUCGUAGGAAAAUCCGCUGGCAUCCGAACCGGUCCACGAUUCACAAGUCAACCUAUGUGGAAUCGGAAAGGGCAUAAAAUUUCCGAUCUUUUGAUACCCAAACAUCUAGGUUUUCUUUAAAACCUACGUUUUUAAAUACCUAAGCAAAAACGUUGUUAUGGUUUCGUUUGAGCAACCUGCCGAAAAUGUAUGGAAUUUCGUAAUUUUUGUUCUCGUGGAUCAAACUUACUUUUUGCCCAGGUAUUUAAAAACGUAGGUUUUUACAUGUUUCAUCACAAAAUGUGCAUAGUGCCCAAGGGGUGUAAAUACUUUUUUUACAUACUGUAUAAACGCGGUUGCCUACUUGAACAAUGCCAAUAUUUGAGUGGAUUAAAGCCACCGCACAGAAAAAAAUCAAUUCCCGUAAUCGUGAAUAAGGUUCACGAAUGUGAGAUCCGUGAAUAUAUUCCUUCGUGGUUCUCAUAAUCGUGAACUGACUUCACGGUUUCGAGAAUUGAUUUUUUGCGGCUUAUUUUCGCAGUAAUUUUGAGUUUUUGACCCGCUCUUCUAUUAUGUAAAUUUCUCUCUCUUUAGAAUUAGGUGUUAUGGUUGCGUCGGAGACAUGGAACAAAUGUUAUACGAUUACCCAGUAGAAACAGAUCACGUUCUAAGAGGUCGCCGGAAUACAGUGCACAAUUUUUUCUCUAAUUAUCUUCUUUAUUCAAUGUUUAUCACUUUCCAAUGUUUCUCACCAUGAGACAUUAGGGUGUAAUAUGGUUGUAUGGAAAAAAAUAAAGUUGUCCAAAUUUAGCGAGCACAACCAUUUUUCAGUUCCUUUUGGGGUCCUAAACAACUCCCCAAAGUUUGGGAACGGUUGGUUUAGUCCUCACUUUGCGCAAAGCGAUUCAAUUUUCCAUAUAAAUUUGUAUGGGAAAAACAUUUUUUUUGAUUUUGAUAUUUAUAAAAUCCACGUUUCACGCUGUACUAAAACCGAAUUCAUAUUCGGAUGCACUGGAAUGUGCUCUACAACUUUCCCGAAGAGAGUAUGGUGCUAACUUGCUCCUAUAAAAAGAUACAGCGUGUUCAAAACUCGUCUAAAACGUGUUUUUUGCUCGAAAAUCACGUUUUAGACGAGUUUUGAGGACGCUGUAUCUUCUUUCAGGGACAAGCUAGCACCAUACUCUCUUCGGGAAAGUUGUAGAGCACAUUCCAGAGCAUCCGAAUAUGAAUCCGGUUUUAGUACAGCGUGAAACGUGGAUUUUAUAAAUAUCAAAACUCAAAAAAAUGGGUUUUCCCAUAUAAAUUUAUAUGGAAAAUUGAGGACUAAACCAAUCGUUCCCAAACUUUGGGGAGUUGUUUAGGACCCCAAAAGGAACUGAAAAAUUGCUGGGCUGGAAAAUCGAUUUUGAUAUUACACCCUAAUGAGACAUGUGUUGCUCUAACAUUUCGUUAAUAUAUUAAAAAGUAUAUUAAAAUUUCGUUAUUCUAUCAAGAUGUUUUUAUUAUUCUUGAAGUUUCCUCCUCCUUGGUGCGAUGAAAUGUUUUCAUAAAAUCCACCUAAAUUGUAAGUUUGAUAAUACAACACAGGUCAGUUUAACAAUAACAAUACGGCUCUAGAUUUAAUGGGUUUUUGGAAGGUAUCCAGGUUUUUAAGCGAAGAUGGCGUUCGAAUGUUGAACGUCCGAUAUGUCAAAAUCGCUCAGUAGCACAAAUAUUAGACAAAAAAUGUGGCUGUCAUGCCAUGGCACACUUUUUUCACAAUGUUGGUACCACUGCGCGAUUUUGACAUUUCGAGCGUUCACCAUUCGAACGCCAUAUUCGCUUAAAAAGCUGGAUAGUAAAAAAGUAAAUCUUUCCCAGUUCCUGAGGGGAACACCCUUGAAGAGUAUCGGGGCCGGCAUUUACAAAGCGGAUUCAGUGGCAAUUUCAUUCUCAACUUAAUGUUAACAUGUUAAGGUUAAUGUUAACAUUCCAUAGGUCGCCUCCCUAAGGUGUCGUGAUAAGGUCCAGUUUGUGAAGAUACACUACCUUCCCUUUACUAAGCAAUCAAUUCCAGAAGGGUAAAGAUCACCAGUUGUGUUGGUCCGAGCCGGGAUUUGAACCCCGAUCUACCGCUUACGAGGCGGAAGCGUUACAACUGGGCUACGUGGCUCGGUCUUUUUGGAAAGUAUACGUCAAACUAAACUUAAAAAUGAUGAAAAGUCAGAAUCGUCCAAAACAUACAUGGGAAAAAUUUAAUUUCAAAUAUAAUUUCUGUUCUCUAAGCGGCAUUCUUGCAGCAAGCAGAAUUUCUGCAGCGUCUUAAACUACAUUGCCUAAUCAAUGAGCGUGAAUCAAAUUAUUCAUAAACAAAACUAAUUUUGUGUUUCUUCUAUUUCAGCCAAAAUUCUGCCAGCUUUUUAAAGCAAGCCGAAAUGGAAUAGAACGUUUGGAAAUAAGUGACAGUGAAUUAGACAAAAACACAAGAAUUGUUACACUAGAGAACUGCGUUAAGAUUGUUCUUGAGCAAGCUCCUUCAAAUAUCAUCAAUGUUGUUACUAAAACAGGACAAAUUCA